GCAUAUCACAUGACCAUUGACAUACACUGGACUAAACAGGAAGCAGAUCGUCUACUCUGCAGUUGGCUGAUCAGUAGCUGAAAAUACAGUGAACGAGGUUCAGCAAAAGUGAAAAGACCAGAGAUUUCUUUGCUUGGACUGACGAUGUGGAAAUGUUACUGAAAGUAACACGUAAGUAUAAAUGGAGUCGUCACAAAACAAAUAUGGCAACAUGUAAGAGUGGUACCAGGAGCAUUGUUCAUCAUUACCAAAGGUCUCCGUUUUGGCAUGUCCAGACUGAAACGUUUUCAAAUUUAAUUGGGGCAAACAGCUUUUACAGGGUCUCGAAAACUCCAGAGUAGUUUGGAGUAAACGCAGCAAAAGUGAUGCAUUUUAAGACUUAAAGCGUUGGUAUGGAUCUGGCUAAAGUACUGUGGGCGGUUGAACACUGUAGCUUCCAUGGUGUAAAACUUGUUGGACAAACUGUUUUCUUUUAGCUGGUGUGUUGCAUGUGAAAAGUUGGGCACUAGAAGUCAUGCAACACACCAUAAUCAAUCAAUCGACCAAUCACACAACCGCGCUUCAGUACGUUGUUGGAGGGUAGAGAUCUGAUCCUGACACGAUAUAAACCUGCAACGCUUCCAUCGAAAAACGCUGCGUCAUCACAUUCACUUCCUGUGCCAACUGUUUGAUCGAUGAGUGGAUGUUUCCCUCUGCCCUUCCUGCAGGAUCAAUAAUCUGUUGGAACCUCUGAACCACCGCAACAGUUUUCUGCCUCAGCUUGUUUUGCCCUGGGAAUAUCUUCUGUUUGAUCAUGUGGGCCGGGCGCCGGGAGAAAUGGCUCUGUUCAAUGACUCACGUGGUAAACAGGUGAAAGGAGGAGAAAGAGAAAAAAUGUUUCUCUCUAUCAGGCCUGUUAUGUUUCCCUCUGCAGAUCAUUUCAGGUCACAGGCUCAUGUUGGAGGGAAAAAUCACUCCCAGCCUGAGUGCGGUUCGUAGGAAAGUCACGGAAAAGUGUUCGAAAGCUCCCGAAAAAAAAAAAAAUCCCUGAAUGGGUUCUCUGUGGGAGUACAACUAAUUUUAUUAGCCCCCUUGGAAACAUUCAACCUAACAAGUGGAAAGCAGUUUCUGCAUAAAUUAAAGAUAAUCCAGAGUAAAUUAUGCAAAUAUAUUCGCUCAGAUAAAGGAGGGGGCGGCGUGGUCGUUUAUUGUGAGGUUAAAAAAUCCGAGCCAGUGGUUGAAACCGAACCGAGGGAAACUUUCACUUCAAAGUUUGUGAGGGUCUCGGCCUGUGAGGAAAUUACACGGGGAUGUUGCAUCAUCUGUAAAUCACCGAGAGGAUGAACGAGUCCCCGAUGAGCCGGGAAUCAAACUGAAGACAAGAAUCAUAAACAGCAGGUGAAGUUUGGUGAAGUUUUCCUGCCAUAACACGCUCAUCCCGUCAGUUUCCAGGCUCAUCUCUUCCCUUCCAGGCGGCCAUUAGUUUCACCUUAAUUACCAAAAAAUCUACGUGCAGAGACUUGAAGACAAAUCGGCACCGUCAGCUUUUAAUCGAGGCGUCGUCGUCAUUCUGUAACGUAGUCGAGAGUUUUUUGAAAACUCUCCCUGGUGGUCAUGGCCGGAUUAACCUAUUAGGGGACCACAGGGCAAGAGUUGGCUGUUGGACCCCACACUGGGGUGCAAUGCCAAGAACUGAGAUCCUGGUUUCUUCUGGUGAAUUCUUGGCAAAAUCUGCUCCAAUUUCACAGACAAAAAAUAAAAAAUAAAAAGAAAUAUGCAGGAUGCUGGGAUUUUAACCAUCUGUGAACUUGUCUUGGAAUAAAAAACACGUUCUCCAAACCUCAUUAAAACUACCGUGCAGCUGGAACCCUGCUGUUCCAGUAAUUUAAAUGGAUCAGCAUUUCAGCUCCUAACUGUUCAGCUGUGUGGAACAAGUCUUCAGAUCCUUUAUUUAAAUAAGCAGGUCCGCGUUUCACUGCUUAAAUUUUCAUUGAAAUAACUGUUCAAAGCACUAAGAGAUGAAAUCCUAUAAUAUUUCAUACAAAAAGCAAAGAUAUGAGAACAGUUUCUUCUUCCUUCUCCCGUUAAUCAUAUCACAACCCUUCAGAUUUAUAUUGUGAUGGGAGCCGCUAGAUUAAACUGUAACUGUAUGUGACGUAGUUAAAACCAUCUCCACCUGCAGCAGCUACGACAGUAAAAUGCUGCUGAAACACUGAUGCAUCAGUUUUGAUUAUUUAAAACGUUUUACUUUUACUUUUACUUAAGUAGGAUUCUGACUGAGCGACUUUAACUGUGAUCCAAUUCAGGGGACGAAUCCUUCAGAGGAGGCGGUGCUUCGCUGUCCGGGAAGGCCACACCGAAAUGAGCCGGUCUGGCCUGCGGCGGAGCCUUACCGUUGCGUUGCGAACCGCGGCUCCUGUCGCCUAGCAACCUUGACAACAUGAACCUUGGGAAAGGUUGGACCAACAAAGAUUCACCCGUUGGAGCCGCAUUUCAAGCAGCCUGCGAAAUGGGAGGAGCUAGUCGCACCGCCGUGACGCAAUCCGGACUUCAAAUGCAGCCUCAGAAGGAUGCGGCCCCUGAACUGGGACGCAGCUUUUGACCAGUAAUGGAGUAUUUUUUUCCCCUGGGCGAGGUGGAAGCGUCUCCCGUGGGGUCAGGAGGUCGGCGGCCUCCGCGAACUCCACCACACACACUUCAAAACAAAACAAAACCAAACCUCCUCUUUGUCGUUUCACUCAAUUACUCUCUAGGUUGUGUUAAUGACUCCCUGCCGUCUGCAGGCUGACAGUCACCAGCUGCCGCUGCGCUCCGACAUCUGAUGAUGGUACAACACCAACUCCUCUGCUGAUGCUGCAACGAUGAAGUUCAUAUGUGCAGUUACAGGUAUAACUUCAGAUUUAACUGGUGAGUGUGAGACUUUAGUUUGUUACAGACGUCUUCUUCUUUUGUUGGAGCUUUGUGGGAAAUAAAUGACGUGGGAACACAA